rnacentral:rRNA from 1 species
AGUGAACGCUGGCGGUAGGCCUAACACAUGCAAGUCGAACGGCAGCACAGUAAGAGCUUGCUCUUACGGGUGGCGAGUGGCGGACGGGUGAGGAAUACAUCGGAAUCUACUUUUUCGUGGGGGAUAACGUAGGGAAACUUACGCUAAUACCGCAUACGACCUACGGGUGAAAGCAGGGGAUCUUCGGACCUUGCGCGAUUGAAUGAGCCGAUGUCGGAUUAGCUAGUUGGCGGGGUAAAGGCCCAGCAAGGCGACGAUGCGUAGCUGGGCUGAGAGGAUGGGCAGCCACGAUGGGACUGAGACACAGACCAGACCUCUGCGAGGGGCAGCAGUGGUAAGUAUUGCAGAAGGGGCGCAAGUCUGAUCCAGCCAUACCGCGUGAUGGAGGAAGGCCGUCGGGUGGUAAAGCCCUUUUGGGGGGAAAGAAGAGCAGCAGUUUAAUACCCCGCUGUUCUGACGGUACCCAAAGAAUAAGCACCGUCUAACUGCG